rnacentral:rRNA from 1 species
UACAGAGGGUGCAAGCGUUGUUCGGAAUUACUGGGCGUAAAGCGCGUGUAGGCUGCAAUGUAAGUCGGAUGUGAAAGCCCUCGGCUUAACCGAGGAAGUGCAUCUGAUACUGCAUCGCUUGAGUGUCGGAGGGGGUGGCGGAAUUCCCGGUGUAGAGGUGAAAUUCGUAGAUAUCGGGAGGAACACCUGUGGCGAAGGCGGCCACCUGGACGAUAACUGACGCUGAGACGCGAAAGCGUGGGUAGCAAACAGG